AAGGAAAAAGAAAAAGAAAACGCGUAACUGCACCGCUCGGAAAGGCGAAGGCGUCACUCUCACUCUCACUCUCACUCCAGUCCAGAAGCAUCUUUUCUUCGCAAUCACCCCACUCAUCUCUCUCGCUCCGACUUCUGGACAAUCUCCAAGGCCACAGGCAACAAAUUAACGAUCUGAUGGGGUAUAUCAUUGUGAUUUCCUUGCCUGUAAUACUAUUGUUCUUGAUCAUCGCGAUUGGAUGCUACCUUUUUGGAAAAAACCGUGGUCGUAGCGAAGCAACAACAACUCAGUAUUAUGGACCUCCCGCACCACCAUAUGGAGUGCAGCCUCAAGCCACUCCCAUUAAUAAUAAAUAGGUAAAUGUAUAGUGUUUACAACAUACAUACAUACAUACAUACAUACAUACAUCAUACAUGUUCUCUUAUAUUUGAUAAUUAUCGUAUACCCUGUACAAGUGAAUGGUGAUAAUUUGUUUAUAACCCAUGGGAUUUGUAAACAUUUUGUGUUCUAAUUAUAUAAAGUUUGAUCAAUAAGCCUUCGGUAGAAGGUCUCUGCUCAA